UCCCGGGUGGCUCAGUGGUAAAGAAUCUGCCUCCAAUGCAGGAGACUUGGGUUUGAUCCCUGGUUGGGGAA
rnacentral:tRNA from 1 species